UUUUCUUUACAGGUUGUGGAUUGGAAUAGUGGAGACCCCGUAAUUUAGGAACUCCGGUGUUCGUUGCUAUCACAACGAAAUAUGUUUUUGAGGUAUGGAUUUAUAUGGAAGCAGUCAUGACCUAGGCCACUGACGUAAGCCAAAUGUGAUAGAACUCAUCCAGUCGGAACAUUAAGUUUAGAAUCACCCUAUUGUGGAAUUUUCCUUCCUAAAAUUUCUGCAUAAUUCUAUUUUGCCCCUUCCGUCCAAAAAUGAAGGUGGUUUGCUGAUAACAGAACACCCACGCGCAUGUUGUUGCAAUUCGCUAACUCAGUCCUGACUUCCUUCGAUCUUUCAUCUGUACAGAAGAGGGUCAUCACCAUGAACUUUCACACUCACUUUCUUAGCGAUAUCAGUAUAUGGAAAUUAGGAAAGCACAAAAGAAAUUCCCCCUUCCCAACUCCUUCCCCUAAUGCAUUUUACGUUGCCAAUCUAUUGGGUGUUGCAUUAGAUACUUGUUUAACUGUUUCGUGGAUUCCUUAUCACGUGGUUCGUGUUCACCUUGUGGCCGUUUGGGAGAACGGAUUUUUGUGCUCGAUAUCACUUUUGCCAUUGUUCUGUGAAGGAAAGUUCCUGCUAAUAACAUUAUAUUUAUGGCACCUUAGUAUGCAUAGAACCUGUCGUUGUGGCCAAAUCUCAUUAAAUUUCGGAGAAAACCUAAUAUUUCAAGAUUACUCAUAUAAAAUGUUAUUUCCCUUAACCCGUAAUCUUACUGAACACCAGCAUUGAGACGAAAAUACGGAUAAA